rnacentral:rRNA from 1 species
GAUGAACGCUGACAGAAUGCUUAACACAUGCAAGUCAACUUGAAUUUGGGGUUUUAACUUCGGUUUGGGUGGCGGACGGGUGAGUAACGCGUAAAGAACUUGCCUCACAGCUAGGGACAACUUUUGGAAACGAAUGCUAAUACCUAAUAUUAUGAUAAUAGGGCAUCCUAUAAUUAUGAAAGCUAUAAGCGCUGGGAGAGAGCUUUGCGUCCCAUUAGCUAGUUGGAGAGGUAACGACUCACCAAGGCGAUGAUGGGUAGCCGGCCUGUGAGGGUGAUCGACCAGAAGGGGAGGGAGAGACAGCCCUUCCACCUACGGGAGGGAGGAGGCGGGAAGAAUGGACAGUGGACCAAGAGUCUGAUGAAGCAGUUCUGUGUGCACGAUGAAGUUUUUCGGAAUGUAAAGUGCUUUCAGUUGGGAAGAAGGAAAUGACGGUACCAACAGAAGAAGUGACGGCUAAAUACGUG